rnacentral:tmRNA from 1 species
UCCCUUUAAUUUAAGGCCGAAUCACCCUAUAUUAGAAGGGCUGGCUUGCCAGCUAUGGUGAUAAACGACUUGCGUAAUAAACGGAGUGGACCCGGGGGCAGUACCCGGCGCCUCCACCAAAUUUCCGGCUUGGCCGGCCCCUGGUAAGGGGUCCGCACACGGUUUUGGGGGCGAAACAGGAUCGACACACGUGUAAAGACUUGUCUUUUGCCCGGUAUGGUACCGCCGUUAGCGGGCCGUUUUUACAAGAGCCAAUGAUAAUGACUUGGCCCUCGCUGCCUAAUUAGGCAAGCGCGGUUCGGGGGGGCGCCGGGCAACAGAAGCCCCUCCACU